GCCAGGGUUCGCCACACACCAGCUGGGGGUUGCAGGUGCUGUUCUAGAUGAAAGCACUGGAAAGGUGCUGGUUGUACAAGACAGAAAUAAGACUAUAAACGCAUGGAAAUUUCCAGGAGGUCUGUCUAAUCCAGGAGAAGACAUUGGUAAGUCCUAUGAGAACAGGUCAGCCAUCAACAGAACUAUAAAGACAUGAACACCACUGAAAUACAGCAUGACCCACAUUGCUCUGUGAUGGAUUGUUUCCUUGAAUUAAUGGGGAAUAGAUGGAGUGACACAAUGCUGGGACCCUAAUGGUAA